UACGUAGGGGGCAAGCGUUGUCCGGAUUUAUUGGGCGUAAAGAGCGUGUAGGCGGCCUGGAAGGUCAGCUGUGAAAACUCGAGGCUCAACCUCGAGACGUCGGUUGAAACCACCUGGCUAGAGUCCGGAAGAGGAGAGUGGAAUUCCCGGUGUAGCGGUGAAAUGCGCAGAUAUCGGGAAGAACACCCGUGGCGAAGGCGGCUCUCUGGGCAUUACCUGACGCUGAGGAGCGAAAAGUGUGGGGAGCGGAACAGG
rnacentral:rRNA from 1 species